rnacentral:rRNA from 1 species
GGAGGGAGCGAGCGUUGUUCGGAAUCACUGGGCGUAAAGGGCGCGUAGGCGGCCGAGUAAGUCGUGUGUGAAAGACCGGGGCUCAACUCCGUGUACUGCAUGCGAUACUGCCCGGCUAGAGAAAGGUAGAGGCGAGUGGAAUUCCCGGUGUAGCGGUGGAAUGCGUAGAUAUCGGGAAGAACACCUGUGGCGAAGGCGGCUCGCUGGGCCUCUUCUGACGCUGAAGUGCGAAAGCGUGGGGAGCAAACAGGGAUUAGAUACCCUGGUAGUCCACGCCGUAAACGAUGGGCACUAGGCGUUGGGAGGAUUGACCCUCUCAGUGCCGUAGCUAACGCGUUAAGUGCCCCCGCCUGGGGAUACGGCCGCAAGGCUG